GUGAUUUUAUCCCAAUUUUGAGGCCUUUCUUGAGGGGUUACUUGAAGAUUUGUAAGGAGGUUAAGGAGAAGAGGUUGAAACUAUUCAAAGACUACUUUGUUGAUGAAAGAAAGAAGCUUGCAAAUACCAAGAGUAUGGACAGCAAUGCUCUAAAAUGUGCAAUUGAUCACAUUCUUGAAGCUCAACAGAAGGGAGAGAUCAACGAGGAUAACGUUCUUUACAUCGUUGAGAACAUUAAUGUUGCUGCAAUCGAAACAACAUUGUGGUCAAUUGAGUGGGGUAUCGCGGAACUAGUCAACCACCCUCACAUCCAAAAGAAACUCCGAGACGAGAUUGAUACAGUUCUUGGACCAGGAGUGCAAGUGAGUGAGCCAGACAUGCCCAAGCUUCCAUACCUUCAGGCUGUGAUCAAGGAGACUCUUAGACUCCGGAUGGCAAUUCCUCUUUUAGUCCCACACAUGAACCUUCAUGAUGCAAAGCUUGCUGGAUACGAUAUUCCAGCUGAGAGCAAAAUCUUAGUUAACGCUUGGUGGCUAGCUAACAACCCCGCCCACUGGAAGAAACCUGAAGAGUUCAGACCUGAGAGGUUCUUGGAAGAGGAGAAACACGUUGAAGCCAAUGGCAACGACUUCAGAUUUCUUCCUUUCGGUGUUGGCAGGAGGAGUUGCCCCGGAAUUAUCCUUGCAUUGCCAAUUCUUGGCAUCACCAUUGGACGUUUGGUGCAGAACUUUGAGAUGUUGCCUCCUCCAGGGCAGUCGAAGCUCGACACCUCGGAGAAAGGUGGACAGUUCAGUCUCCACAUUUUGAAGCAUUCCACCAUUGUGAUGAAACCAAGAUCAUUCUAAACUUUGUAAUACUAUCAGUUGAGGGGUUCUAAGAAAACUGAUAGAAGUAUGGUUGUUAUUUUGAUUGAAAAGGGAAAACCUUGUAAGUUUUAUAGAAAAAAAACAUUUUUCUUCUUGGACUCAAAUUCAUUACAAGAUUUACAUUUAUCUGAAAAUAAUGAUGUUCUCUUGAUGUACAAUAGUUGAACAUGGAUUUUCCUGUAAGAUCAUUAUUGAAGAAUUAAUUGCAUUGUU
rnacentral:misc_RNA from 1 species